ACUCAAAGGAAUUGACGGGGCUCCGCACAAGCAGAGGAGGAUGUGGUUUAAUAUGACGCUACGCGUAGAACCUUACCCAGGCUUGACAUCCUUGGAACCCACUGGAAACAGAGGGGUGCCGCAAGGAGCCAAGUGACAGGUGCUGCAUGGCCGUCGUCAGCUCGUGUCGUGAGAUGUUGGGUUAAGUCCCGCAACGAGCGCAACCCUUAUCGUAUGUUGUAUUUUUCAUGCGAGACCGCCCGGGCCAACCGGGAGGAAGGUGGGGAUGACGUCAGGUCGGCAUGGCCCUUACGCCUGGGGCCACACACGUCCUACAAUGGCCGGUACAACGCGCCGCGAAGCCGCGAGGCGGAGCUAAUCGUACCAAAACCGGUCUCAGUUCGGAUUGGAGGCUGCAACUCGCCUCCAUGAAGUCGGAUUUGCUAGUAAACGCAGGUCAGCACACUGCGUUGAAUACGUUCCCGGAGCUUGUACACACCGCCCGU
rnacentral:rRNA from 1 species